rnacentral:rRNA from 1 species
UACGUAGGGACCAAGCGUUGUUCGGAUUUACUGGGCGUAAAGGGCGCGUAGGCGGCUCUGUAAGUCACUUGUGAAAUCUCUGAGCUUAACUCAGAACGGCCAAGUGAUACUGCAGUGCUAGAGUGUAGAAGGGGCAAUCGGAAUUCUUGGUGUAGCGGUGAAAUGCGUAGAUAUCAAGAGGAACACUCGUGGCGAAAGCGAGCUACUGGACAAUAUCUGACGCUGAGGCUCGAAGGCCAGGGUAGCGAAAGGG